rnacentral:rRNA from 1 species
UUGGGUACUCUAAAGGAACCGCCGGUGAUAAGCCGGAGGAAUGUGGGGAUGACGUCAAGUCCUCAUGGCCCUUACGCGUUGGGCUACACACGUGCUACAAUGGCGACUACAGUGGGCAACCACCUCGCGAGAGGGAGCUAAUCUCCAAAAGUCGUCUCAGUUCGGAUCGUUCUCUGCAACUCGAGAGCGUGAAGGCGGAAUCGCUANUAAUCGCGGAUCAUCAUGCCGCGGUGAAUACCUUCCCAGGCCUUGUACACACCGCCCGUCAUACCAUGGGAGUUGGAUUCACUCGAAGGCGUUGAGCUAACCGCAAGGAGGCAGGCGACCACAGUGGGUUUAGCGACUGGGGUGAAUC